CUUCUGGAACUGCCACACAGAAUGACCAUCAGCUGCUGGGAAAGCUUUACCUGGAUGCAGUAUUUUUGACACAGUUCAGUUUCAUUAAUCCUUCAGAGACUUUAUUGCCUCAUCUGUCCCUUUACACACAUGACUCCAGAGUGCUGCAAGCUGGAACUGUGCAGGGGAAAUUCCAGUUUUAGAAACUGUCCAGCAAGGCCAAGACACUGUGAACAAAGCCAUGCAGUUAUCACUGGCCUCUACCUGGACGAGGUUUCCCUAGAGAAGCAUUACCUGCACUGCAGUGGGUGUUUGUUUCUCUGCCUGGAUUGCUCCUCGACCCUUCAGCUCAUUUACACCAGACCCUUUCUGACCUCACCUCUGCGUGGUCAGCCAGGAAGCCUUCUGGGAUGUGAGGCAGGAGACAUUCUGGAGAAAUGCUGCUGAGAAUUUCUGCAAGUGACAUAUUUUAAAUAUGUGCUAAAUUCACUGGACAUUUGUGUUUGUAUGUAUGUAUUUUAUUUUCAUAUAAUGUACCAUAUGUCUCUGCCCAAGGGUACAGGUGCUUCUUUGGCUGCUCUUGCUCCAAAGCUGCCUCUUUGAUAUGGGCAGUUUGCACAGGGAUUAAAUGUGCAGGCUUGCGAAAUAUUUGAAAAAAUGACCAAAAGGAUGCAUUUAUAGCUAAAAAAAUAAAAGAAUGAAAGAAGUUAUAAAAUGUAUUGUA
rnacentral:lncRNA from 1 species